GACGAACGCUGGCGGCGUGCCUAAUACAUGCAAGUAGAACGCUGAAGGAGGAGCUUGCUUCUCUGGAUGAGUUGCGAACGGGUGAGUAACGCGUAGGUAACCUGCCUGGUAGCGGGGGAUAACUAUUGGAAACGAUAGCUAAUACCGCAUAAUAGCAGUUGUUGCAUGAUAACUGUUUGAAAGGUGCAAUUGCACCACUACCAGAUGGACCUGCGUUGUAUUAGCUAGUUGGUGGGGUAACGGCUCACCAAGGCGACGAUACAUAGCCGACCUGAGAGGGUGAUCGGCCACACUGGGACUGAGACACGGCCCAGACGCCUACGGGAGGCAGCAGUAGGGAAUCUUCGGCAAUGGACGGAAGUCUGACCGAGCAACGCCGCGUGAGUGAAGAAGGUUUUCGGAUCGUAAAGCUCUGUUGUAAGAGAAGAACGAGUGUGAGAGUGGAAAGUUCACACUGUGACGGUAUCUUACCAGAAAGGGACGGCUAACUACGUG
rnacentral:rRNA from 1 species